AAAAAUUUAGUUAAUUCUCCCCAUAACAUUAGCUUGUCAAGCUAAAAUAACCCAAAAGGGUAAUUUUUG
rnacentral:tRNA from 1 species